rnacentral:tRNA from 1 species
GGAGGUUUAGCUCAGUUGGGAGAGCAUCUGCCUUACAAGCAGAGGGUCAGCGGUUCGAGCCCGUUAAUCUCCACCA